rnacentral:ncRNA from 1 species
UUUAUUAAGAAUGGUGGAGGGACUGGCCCUAAGAAGCCUAGCAACCUAUUAAUAGGUAAGAAGUAAGAAUUAGUAAUUAAAAACUUAUUUUAAUUAUUACUUGCUAACUAUUAAUGUUGGUGCUAAAUCCUGCAGGUUUAACCUGAGAAAUGAGA